UGAUUCUGACCCUGAAGUUCUUUUUAUCACACCACUGCUUGCUGAUACUGCGGCAAGUUUGAGAACUCAGUACAAGCAUCAAAUUCUAGCUUGCCGUUACUGGGGAGGAGGAGAAGACAGGAAAAUCUCUGGCUCCUGGACUAGCUAAUCUGGAAUACACAGCAGUGAACAAGUUUAUAUCAAGGAUACAGUCAAUGAUAUGUGGACAUGCAUCAAAGCUUUCUCCUGUUGUUGACCAUCAUAGCCGUCCGAUGACCAUGACAUCUACCACCUCGCCCUUAUGGAGUUCCACGUACUGCUCUGUUUUUGGAGGUAGCAUCAACAAUCCAUUGGCGCUGCGCAUGCUCAUCAGACGGCUGCUCAUCUGAUUACCUGGAAGGAAAUACUGUCAUUACUGCAGCACAAGCAUCAGGAACUACAUAUGGAGAGGCCAGCAAAUGGAGCACAGGACUCCAAGGACAGAGAUGACCAGUCUUCCCAGCACCUUUUCAGGAAAAAUGCACGUCCUAGAUCCUUGACCUUCUCAUCGAAACUUUAAAAACAAAUAUUAGAUAUUUUUUAAAGAAUAAAAUGGUGCUUUAUAGCCAUUCAAAAUGCUACAAAAAUUCUCACUUCAGGGUGGAUUUAUAGUUGUAUAAAAAUAAAGCCUUUUAGAAACUUAAGGAUAACAGUAAUGGCAGCUUCCAUUAGGUGCUCUGUGGUCAUUUUAUGAACUCUUCUUAUUUAACUCCUACAAGAUGCAAAAGUCUGAGGUAUGCUGCCUAGGGUCUUGCUAAUUAGGCAGGAGGCCAACUUUCCUGCAGAACUCUGUGAUGACAAAGGCUCAUGAACUGAAUCACUGUAAGUGGAUGUUCGCAGUUGACACACAGUCUUUUUAAAACAGGUAACAGUUUUUGUGGAACUGCAUCAAAAUUUGGGCAAAAUAUGACUGGAAAAGUUGGAGACAAAGGUUUAGAGUUGAGAGCUCUCUACUUCAGAGCCAGACCUCUGAAUUAUCAACAAGGCUUUGUCCUUAAAGUUUACUAGUACCUAGGAGGUAGUAGGGUCCAUAAAGAUCGGACUGUAGAUUUGGCUUUCUCCCCACAUUUCAGGAUAACACAGCUACUGUUAUCUUCUUUUUUACUCACCAGGCAUGUUCAGAGGGCUGCUUGAACUAAUCAAAAUAUAUAAUUAUAUUUGUAUAUUUCAAAUAUUUAUCUAGAAAAUAUGACUCAGUGAAAUAAAGAAACAUCAAGAAUAACUUAUUUCAUCUAACCCCUCAAAAAGAGAAGUGUACAACAACUAUCCAUUUCAUUAUCACCAAGGAGAAGACACGAUUGACAUAGUAGCUACUGUGGUUUGUUCUUCAGAGUACACAGGCAUCUCUGUGGUUUGUUUCUGAAGUGCCCAAGCACCUGUGUGGGUGUACAGGUAUGAAUGACUGACCUGUACUCUGGGCCCAGGGCAGUGGUUCUUGGUGAUGCCAAGUCAGUAUACACCGGUGGUAUUCUGGGCGUGGGUCCAGUUUUACAUCACACGACAACUACAGCAUAAAGAGGCAAAGAAAUUUAACUAGGUCACCUAAUCAGUUCUUAGAACUACAGAGAAUAUAAUGAGUCUGGAUAGGUAAUAUCCUUGUCAUUAUACUAUUAUCUUGUUUUCAAUGCAUAAAGUCCAGGGGUUGACUGCUAUUGUAAAGAAGAAUGCUAGGAAGUCAGUGUUCACAAUGGGGGGAAAAGACAAAUGAAAAAGGUAAAGUCUAUUAUUAUGGGUUGUAAUGAUCCUGGACCUAUGAAAUGAGAAACUGAAGCAAUAUCUCACUAUUCAAAGGAAAAGAGGUGGAUUUAAUAAACAAAUUCAAAAACUAACCAUCCACCAGUAUUCAUUGUAGAUUUAAUAUGUGCUAGGCAUUAUUCACCUACUCAUUUAUAAAACUAUUUUCAGUGUAUAAGAAAUAGGCUUUUGAUGUUGCUUAUAUAUUCUUUGCUGGCAGCAUAGCUUCCUAUUGCUCCUAAAUUGUUUUGUGCUUUCCUCUUAGUUUCUCUCUGUGUGUGUUCUCUAGUGCUAAAUUGCAGGAACCACUUAUAUGGCUAUUUUGCAGCCAAUUUUAAAGAAGAGAUGGCAGAUGUCAAAAUGAAAUAAAUGUAAGGAUUCCUAUGAGCUUUGCAGUGUUGGAUAAGCCAUGUGUCUCUUAAAACAAUAUGGAUUUUUCCUACUUCCUCAGCUUAGCAAGUGUGAAUGCAAUAAAUUCUCCAUUACUGGGUUGGCUGUGUAAAUCUGUAAGGACUUUGGCUUUUUGACCUGAUCAUAAUUUGUUUUCAUUCACACUGGCCUUUCUUCCUUCUUCUCCUUCCACCUCUCUGUUUCUUACUUUGUUAACAAUUCUGUGAUUACUGAAAGGAAGCUCCAUUUUGGGGAGGGGUGAUUUGACACACAGGACACUAUGGCUGGCUAGGUGAUUUUAAGUGGUAUUUUAGGGAAACAAGAUGCUUUUAUCUUCUUUCAUUCACAAAUCUCCAGUAAUAAAAGUACCAAUGUUAAGACUGCUGAUUCACUAGAUUUCCAAAAAACGCUUUUAUUUUACAUAUAUGUGUCUGUGUGCACACGCAAGUGUCACAGCAUUCGUGUUGGGGUCAGAGGACAACUUUCAGUAAGUCAGUUUUCUCCCACCAAGUGGGUCCCAGGGAUUGAACUCAGGGUGUGAGGCGUGGCAGCAUGCGCUUUUAACCUGCCAAGCUAUCUUGCCAGUUGUCUUAGAUUCUUUGUUUGUUUGUGUUCUUUUUUUGAGACAGGGUUUCUCUGUGUAACAGCCCUGGGUGUCCUGGAACUCACUCUAUAGACCAGGCAGCCUUGAACUCAGAGAUCUGCCUGCCUUUGACUCCUGAGUGCUGAGAUUAAAGGUGUGUGCCAGCAUUUUAGAUGUUUUUACACUAUGUAUCCUGAAUAAUAUUUUAUCACUGUUUCCUCUUUUGUGUUUUAUUUUUAAAAAUAAUUUAUUUUUAUUUCAUGCAUAUUCAUGUUGUCAGUGUGAUGGUUUCAGAUCCCCUAAAAGUAGAGGUGCAGGCAGUUAGAGCUGCCAUGGGAAUGCUGGGAAUUGAAUCUGUGUCCUCUGGAAAAACAGCCAGUUGCUCUUAACCAUGGAACCGUCUCUCCAACCCCUCUUCUGUGUUUUAUAUUCUUUUGGUCCACUAAGCAUAGGAUUGUGUCAUAUAUAAAUUACUUUAAAGCUUUUGAAAAGUAAUAGCUUGGUUCUAUAGGUUAUGAUGUCAAGAAAGUCAUUUGUUAGUAAUACAGAAAAUGUAUAACUGGUUGAGUAAUAAGUUAAAUCUGUAGUGUGGGUAGAGAAAGGGACUCUUACUGUAGUGUAUAGCCCUUGUCUGACUCAUGCUGUUCUGAAAAGUACAUUCGCUUCUCCUCCUGAAGUGCCAGUCUUUUAGUCCUUUGUCCCUUUUGAAAUUUUUGAAGAGCAAGCACAUACAAGCAAGCAGGUUAACAUCUGUCCUCUAUGAACUUCACUGGGGAAACCAUCUCACCUCUUACUCCACACAGGUCUAGUGAGUGGUACAGACUGUUUUCUGUUUGCUGGUUUGUUCUUAGGACCCACUAGAUGUUUGAAGACUUGCUCUCUGGAUUCUUUAAGUACUUUUUAAGUUUAAAACAUUUUAUGUAUUUUUAUGUAUAUGGGUGCUUUGCCUGUGUAUGCCCGUAUGCCAUGUAUAUACAAUGUUUGAGAAGAAGGCCAAAAGAGGGCAUCAGAUCCCCUAGGACUGAAGUGAGAGAUAGUUGUGAGCUGCAUGUGGGUGCUGUGAAUUCAAUCUUGGUCUUUUGGUAAAGCAGCCAGUACUUCUGAGCCAACCUUAUUUAUGUCUGAGGGACAUAAAAAUGAAUCUUCCCUUCUAUUUUCUAUUACAAAGGGGAGACUAUUAAUACAUUUAUGAGAAAACAAAUAUAAAAUUAUAGGUAUGUAUUUUGGGCAGUUAGUAAUUGUUAUUAGGCUUCCAUUUUGGUUUCUGAUCACUAGAAACCAAAUAGGAAACAUUACCCUGGCUUUGAUGAUGGUUGGCCGAGGAUCCAAGAUACCCUGCAUCUUUCUCAGUGCAGGUACAACAAAGAGGUUGCAGGUGACCACAGCUGAUACAGGAUUCCCUGAAAGUCAACCAAAUAGUUAUUUAUAUUAUACCACAUAAAGAUUUGUCAGACAAUUAUAUCUGUCUAUACAGCCAGGUGUGACAGGACGUGAUAGAAGUGAAUCACCAUUUAUCUACUUCUUCUGAAUCACCCCAAACCCAACAGAAUGACAGAACAGAGGGAGGGUUAACCACAUCUACAGAGGGUAAGAACUGAACCUUCUGGUCUUCCAUGAAAAUACAAAGACAUCUGAUACUCAGCUUUUAGAAACCGUUUAUGCUUUCCUGAGAGCCUUGCACUGAAAGCCAUUGCUAACCUCCAAGUGCAUGUGUGUGCACAUGUGUGGCUGUGGGUGAAGAGGCAGACACUGAACUGCCUUCAUGAGAAGCAACAUACUCUUAAUAAGUCAAAAUACAGACGUGGAACUUUAUCUAUAACCAUCUUUAUUCAGACACAACCAAAUAACCAAAUGACUCAAGCUGUAAAAACUUUAAGAUGAAUAAGAUGGCGUCAACUGCAACUUGAAGUCCCACAAGAAAGCUCAGUGCUCAGUGUACUGAGCUCAGGAACAGGGCCUUGUUGACUAAUGCUCAGUGAGGACUCAGGAUUGGGUCCUAAUGGAGUAGAACUGCCAUCCCUGUAGAAAGCAGAAGAGGCAGCAGAAGUAUGCAUGUCAGAGGCAAGGCCAUGGGACUCACAGGCAGCAGAUGACUACAGAGAAGGCAUCAGAGAGGAGCAUUGCUGCCACCUUGAGUUUUGGAUUUCUGGGACUUACAAUUGUGAGGAAACUGUGUGCAUUAACAUUUGAUGUAUAUUUGCUUAUAAUCAUAUUUUAUUCAUGGAUUGCUCCUUUAUUCACAUGUGAUGUUUCCUUUAUUAUUUUGUCUGAUUUGGCUUGAAGUCUACUUUGUCUCAUAAGGCUAUAGGUUCUCUUGCUUGCUUUUGACUUCAGUUUGCUUGGUGUAUUAUUCUGUAUUCUGUAAUCUUUAGUCUUUUCCAUUAAAGUAUGAUUCUUAAACAGACAGACAAUAAACAAUUGAAUCUUA